GUGGGGAAUCUUAGACAAUGGGCGCAAGCCUGAUCUAGCCAUGCCGCGUGAGUGAUGAAGGCCCUAGGGUUGUAAAGCUCUUUCAGCUGGGAAGAUAAUGACGGUACCAGCAGAAGAAGCCCCGGCUAACUCCGUGCCAGCAGCCGCGGUAAUACGGAGGGGGCUAGCGGUGUUCGGAAUUACUGGGCGUAAAGCGCGCGUAGGCGGACUGAAAAGUUGGGGGUGAAAUCCCGGGGCUCAACCUCGGAACUGCCUUCAAAACUAUCAGUCUGGAGUUCGAGAGAGGUGAGUGGAAUUCCGAGUGUAGAGGUGAAAUUCGUAGAUAUUCGGAGGAACACCAGUGGCGAAGGCGGCUCACUGGCUCGAUACUGACGCUGAGGUGCGAAAGCGUGGGGAGCAAACAGGAUUAGAAACCCGAGUAGUCC
rnacentral:rRNA from 1 species